GCCACGGUGGUCUAGCGGUCAGAACACCAGCUUUGUAAGCCUGGGGUCCCGGGUUCAAUUCCCGGUGGUGCUC
rfam:Zootermopsis nevadensis contig17094, whole genome shotgun sequence.